GUCAUCCUAAUAACUAGCUCAUUUUAUAGAUCUAAUAAUUCAGAAGAUUUGAUUGACAUAUAAAAGAGAAAAAAUUAAAUUUGAUCAGUUAAUCAUAAUCCUCUCACUGACUUCAUCAAGUCAGAUCAAAGAAGACUAAAUUAGAUUCAAGCCAGUCAAGAAACCUACAUCAGUCACACUGAUCAACUUAUGCAGUAUGGGUUUAGCACGAAUCAAUGAGCAACCAAAUCAAAAGCUAAUUCACCACAUUGGCCAUAUAAGUG
rnacentral:lncRNA from 1 species